GAACACCAGUGGCGAAGGCGACUUACUGGGCCGUAACUGACGUUGAUGCGCGAAAUGCUGGGGAGCGAACAGGAUUAGAUACCCUGGUAGUCCACGCUGUAAACGAUGAGUGCUAGGUGUAGCGGGUAUCGACCCCUGCUGUGCCGGAGUUAACACAAUAAGCACUCCGCCUGGGGAGUACGGCCGCAAGGUUGAAACUCAAAGGAAUUGACGGGGGCCCGCACAAGCAGCGGAGCAUGUGGUUUAAUUCGAAGCAACGCGAAGAACCUUACCAGGUCUUGACAUCGAGGCAAAGCCGUAGAGAUACGGUGUUCAGCAAUGAGGCCGAAGACAGGUGGUGCAUGGUUGUCGUCAGCUCGUGUCGUGAGAUGUUGGGUUAAGUCCCGCAACGAGCGCAACCCUUAUUGUCAGUUACUAACGGGUAAAGCCGAGGACUCUGACGAGACUGCCGGGGACAACUCGGAGGAAGGUGGGGACGACGUCAAAUCAUCAUGCCCCUUAUGACCUGGGCUACACACGUGCUACAAUGGUGGUAACAGAGAGGCGCGAGCUCGCAAGGGGGAGCGGAUCUCAAAAAAGCCAUCUCAGUUCGGAUUGUGGGCUGCAACCCGCCCACAUGAAGUUG
rnacentral:rRNA from 1 species